GAUGAACGCUAGCGGCAGGCCUAAUACAUGCAAGUCGAGGGGUAGAGGAAGCUUGCUUUCUUGAGACCGGCGCACGGGUGCGUAACGCGUAUGCAACCUACCUUUAUCAGGGGGAUAGCCCGGAGAAAUCCGGAUUAACACCGCAUAAAAUCACAGAACAGCAUUGUUUCAUGAUCAAAUAUUUAUAGGAUAAAGAUGGGCAUGCGUGCCAUUAGCUAGUUGGCGGGGUAACGGCCCACCAAGGCGACGAUGGCUAGGGGCUCUGAGAGGAGAAUCCCCCACACUGGUACUGAGACACGGACCAGACUCCUACGGGAGGCAGCAGUAAGGAAUAUUGGUCAAUGGGGGCAACCCUGAACCAGCCAUGCCGCGUGCAGGAAGACUGCCCUAUGGGUUGUAAACUGCUUUUGUACGGGAAUAACCACUGGUAUGUAUACCAGCCUGAAUGUACCGUAAGAAUAAGGAUCGGCUAACUCCGUGCCAGCAGCCGCAGAACAC
rnacentral:rRNA from 1 species